GACGAACGCUGGCGGCGUGCUUAACACAUGCAAGUCGAGCGGUAAGGCCCUUUCGGGGGUACACGAGCGGCGAACGGGUGAGUAACACGUGGGUGACCUGCCCUCAGCUCUGGGAUAAGCCUGGGAAACCGGGUCUAAUACUGGAUAUGACUCCAUGACGCAUGUUGUGGGGUGGAAAGCCUUGUGCGGCUGAGGAUGGGCCCGCGGCCUAUCAGCUUGUUGGUGGGGUGAGGCCUACCAAGGCGACGACGGGUAGCCGGCCUGAGAGGGCGACCGGCCACACUGGGACUGAGACACGGCCCAGACUCCUACGGGAGGCAGCAGUGGGGAAUCUUGCGCAAUGGGCGAAAGCCUGACGCAGCGACGCCGCGUGAGGGAUGACGGGCCU
rnacentral:rRNA from 1 species